rnacentral:rRNA from 1 species
AUUGAACGCUGGCGGCAUGCUUUACACAUGCAAGUCGAACGGUAGAGGGGGCAACCCCUUGAGAGUGGCGAACGGGUGAGUAAUGCAUCGGAACGUGCCCAGUCGUGGGGGAUAACGCAGCGAAAGCUGUGCUAAUACCGCAUACGAUCUCUGGAUGAAAGCGGGGGACCGAAAGGCCUCGCGCGAUUGGAGCGGCCGAUGUCAGAUUAGGUAGUUGGUGGGGUAAAGGCUCACCAAGCCAACGAUCUGUAGCUGGGCUGAGAGGACGACCAGCCACACUGGGAAUGAGACACGGCCCAGACUCCUACGGGAGGCAGCAGUGGGAAAUUUUGGACAAUGGGCGCAAGCCUGAUCCAGCAAUGCCGCGUGCAGGAAGAAGGCCUUCGGGUUGUAAACUGCUUUGGUACGGAACGAAAAGGUCUGGGUUAAUACCCUGGGCACAUGACGGUACCGUAAGAAUAAGCACCGGCUAACUACGUGCCAGCCGCCGCCGUAA